rnacentral:rRNA from 1 species
GAUGAACGCUGGCGGCGUGCCUAAUACAUGCAAGUCGAGCGAACAGACGAGGAGCUUGCUCCUCUGACGUUAGCGGCGGAGGGGUGAGGAACACGGGGAUAAACUACCUAUAAGAAUUGGAUAAAAUAGGGAAACCGGAGCUAAUACCGGAAAAUAUAUUGAACCGGAUGGUUCAAUAGUGGAAUAAGGUUUUGCUGUCACUUAUAGAUGGAUCCGCGGCGCAUUAGCUAGUGGGUAAGGUAAAGGCUUACCAAGGCAACGAUGCGUAGCCGACCCGAGAGGGACAAUGGCCACACUGGAUCAGAGACUCGGUCCAGACUCUUAGAGGAGGCAACAGUAGGGACUCUUACGCAAUGGGGCAAAGCCUGACAUAGCACCGCCGCCUGAAUGAUGAACCUCUUCUGCCGGUAAAGUUAUGUUGUCCUGAGAGUAGAAAUGUUUAUGUAACUAUGCACGUCUUGACGGUACCUAAACAGAAAGCCACGGCUAACUACGUG